rnacentral:rRNA from 1 species
CGUAGGGGGCAAGCGUUGUCCGGAAUUACUGGGCGUAAAGGGAGCGUAGGCGGUCCUUUAAGUUAGAUGUGAAAUACCCGGGCUCAACUUGGGAGGUGCAUCUAAAACUGGGGGACUUGAGUGCAGGAGAGGAAAGUGGAAUUCCUAGUGUAGCGGUGAAAUGCGUAGAUAUUAGGAGGAACACCAGUGGCGAAGGCGACUUUCUGGACUGUAACUGACGCUGAGGCUCGAAAGCGUGGGGAGCAAACAGGAUUAGAUACCCUGGUAGUCCACGCUGUAAACGAUGAAUACUAGGUGUAGGGGGUAUCAACUCCCCCUGUGCCGCAGCUAACGCAAUAAGUAUUCCGCCUGGGGAGUACGGCCGCAAGGUUG